UUCUAUUUUGAUAACACAGAGGUGA
rnacentral:piRNA from 1 species